AGACGAACAGUGGAUUGAUCCACCAAACAGAAACAACACAGACAGAAAUGAGGCAGAAGAAUUCCAAGAUAAGGAAGCUAGAAUUCAAAUAAUUGUUUCAGCGGUAAUAGCUGCCUUUGUCAUCAUCUGCCUGCUAAUUUACAUUUUAUUCAGAUACCGACCAAAAAAACAAGGUCCUAAUGCCAAUCCUCCUCCAGCAAAUGUCAGUUGCCAGAAAGCAGAGGAUCCAAUUUCUACAGUGUUCUGUCCUGACUAUGCUGCACUAGAUGUCCCCGGACAAAAUAUUCGACAGACUCUAGCAUCUUCAAUUGCCUCUGAUGAUUCAUACUACGCUACCAUUGUAUUUGCACCUCAACAACAAGCUACUGGUGUGCAGAAAACAACUGUCGUUAACUAAGGGGAAACAUAUUUGAUAUAGUGGCAUCUGACUACUUUCCUUUAUCCUGUGAACUUACAGAUAUUACAUUAAAAUAUCACUUGACUUUUCUUGCUACUUAUUCUAUGAAAACAGAAGGCACAAUUUGACCACCAUGAAUGAAAUGAUCAUAUUCUAACACUGAGGAAGUAAAAUCCUAGCAAAAUCAAUCUUACCUGGAUGACAUUUCAUUGACUAAUUUUGGAAGGAUAAGAAAGAGUUUAGAAAGGCAUCAUUAGAUUCUGUAGGGACAGUUUCGAGCUGAUAGCAUUUAGAGGAGUCCAUUCACAAACAAUUGGAAAGAAAUAGGCAACUCCUCAUGCUGGUUAGUUGAUUGCCAUUGUCUCAUUCCCACUUUGGUUCUGACUGGACUCUUCAAAUUUACUCAUGUUAGGUAAUGAUCUUACUGAACUGGUGCUGGACUUUAAUUCUGUGAAUUAAAAACAUUAUCCACUGGCACUACAUAUGUUUGUAGUAUCAAUAAACGCACAUGACAUUCUCCUUUAGCAAUAUCAAAGUUGCAAAGUACUCUUCAUGUGACCUGAAGUUGGGAGUUCACAUUAGAUAGUAAUGGAUGCCAUUUGUUUUAAAAGUCCAUAGUAUAAUCAAAUUAUUCAGAUAACAAUGCUCUGAUUUAUAUAAUUUCCAAGAUGUAAGAUUGUGUUACUGAUAUUUUGUCUGCUUUUUAAAGAUAUCAAAAUAUAGAUACAAGUUUUCAUUCAGAAUGUCACAGCUCAACAUUUGCAGUCAUAAAUGGCUAUUAUGGAGUGUGAGUGACUUUGUAAUUCAAUCAGGUUAAAGGGUUUAAUAGAGUCAGUUGCCAGACUGUAAAUCACAAAGCCUGUCUUACAGACAGCACUGUGUAGAACCCUCGAGGUUGCAUUUUCAGUUGCCUGGGGAUGUGUGCUUGGGUUCCAAUUAAAUGUAAUUUAGUAUUGCUGACACCACAAUUCCAUUUUCAGAGAAGUUGGAGGCAUGAACAGCUCCUGACACUAUUACCUCCAUACAAGAUCAAAAUAAUGUAAUUAAGUAGAGAAAGCAGAAAAUGUAGUAAAUUCUCAGUAGGUCAGACAACAGCUGUGUGGAAGACUGAGUUAACAUUUCAGGUUGAUAAUGAAGGUUCAUCAUUGACUUAAAAUAGUAAAUCUGUUUCUCUGUCUAUAGCUGCUCUCUGUCCUGCUGAUUAUUUCCAGAAUUUUCUGUUUUUAUUUCAGAUUUUCAACACCUUUGGCAUUUUGCUUUAUGUUCUAAAGUAAUUACGGGGCCUAUUAACAUUUCCAGUUGGCAUGCAACAACCCACAUUGUCCCGGAACAUGCUCAGAUCGAUGUGCCAGCCUUAGGCCAGGGGAAGGAAGGGUUGUACUUAAACCUGAAAGGGAUCCACAUGUACAUCUGUAUUAGUCACAGGGGCACAACUACAAUCCUCCAGCCUCAGGAGCCCACCUAUCAUUCCUAUUGGGAUGGUGAGCACACUCCCUGGUUGUGAAAUACCUUUAAAAAUAAAGAAAGGCGUGCCUGGAACAAACAGUUUUUGGGGUCAGGGCAUGAAACUGGCCCCACAUCUGGUUCCUGUCCAAGACACAAAAAUUCAUCCCACAUGUUAUGCAAUUGAUCAUUAACCAACUAGUGAUAUGCAGUUUUUCUGAAAUGAUCCUCAGUCUUGGCAUGGCUGGUACAGCCAAUUUUUACAUUUUACCUUCAGUAGCAACAAGGAGCUGAAUUUGUUGGGAAUAAAUUAAAUUUGGAAGCUUAAAAUAACAGAGAUACAGACUGAUUUGGAUACAUUAAGAAAACAAUGAACAAAAUACUGAUAAUUGGGAAAAGACCACAUAGAUUAGGAAACAAAGGUCAGGAAAAUCCUUGGAACUGCUUCCAUUUCUUUGCCAGCAAUGUUUGGAAAUUGAUCCGAUAACCAUUUCGGUAAUGGUCAAAAUAUUUCCAUUCAAAUCGUCAAUAUGCAACCCUGGUGUUGAAUACAAAUGAGAUGAAAACAGCAGAAUGCACUUGCUAUAUGAAGAGAUGACAAUUCUUAACUUCAAUGAUUUUUUUAAAUGUGUAGAUUAAUUCAGCAGCGUAUGAAUCACACUCCAUGAAACAUGAGACACAUGUGAGUCAAAUUAUCUGAUAUUUCCUGCAGUAGAAUUAUCUGCCUAUGGAUAUCAAUGAUGGGUUCAUCACCUUCGUCUACGAAGAAAUCCCUUAUGUUCAGUUAGCUAUGAUUUCACAUAUUCACUUUAUUAAAAUUAUGAUACAAAUAAAACUGCUUUGCAAAGGCUUGAAAAUGUAUGUUUCCAGGUUCUGAGAUCUUUAAUUUUGGAGUCCAGAUGUAUCGAAAAUGUCAACUUAAAGUCUAGUGACCUAUCACUUUUAAUCUAAGUCUCACUUGUAUGACUCCAUAAUGCUUCCAACUCAUUAGAUCUGAAUGACCUCUGACAACCAGCCAGUCCUGAGUUUCAUCGGACCUUGAAAGAUUGUACAAAAUAUUGUGAGAAAUAUAUGUAAAUAAAUGUGACCUAUUUAUUAAACAUUCUUUCGGAGAAGUACUGAUGUAAUAAUUUAACUUUUUCUCAUUAUUAAAAGCAUUUGAAACA